CGAGCGGAUCAUGGGAGCUUGCUCCCGGCGAUCAGCGGCGGACGGGUGAGUAACACGUGGGCAACCUGCCCUGCAGAUGGGGAUAACUCCGGGAAACCGGGGCUAAUACCGAAUAAUCAGUUCCUCCGCAUGGAGGAACUCUGAAAGGCGGCUUCGGCUGUCACUGCAGGAUGGGCCCGCGGCGCAUUAGCUAGUUGGUGGGGUAAUGGCCUACCAAGGCGACGAUGCGUAGCCGACCUGAGAGGGUGAUCGGCCACACUGGGACUGAGACACGGCCCAGACUCCUACGGGAGGCAGCAGUAGGGAAUCUUCCACAAUGGACGAAAGUCUGAUGGAGCAAUGCCGCGUGAGUGAAGAAGGUUUUCGGAUCGUAAAGCUCUGUUGCGAGGGAAGAACACGUACGGGAGUAACUGCCCGUACCUUGACGGUACCUCGUCAGAAAGCCACGGCUAACUACGUGCCAGCAGCCGCGGUAAUACGUAGGUGGCAAGCGUUGUCCGGAAUUAUUGGGCGUAAAGCGCGCGCAGGCGGUCCUUUAAGUCUGAUGUGAAAGCCCACGGCUCAACCCGUGGAGGGUCAUUGGAAAC
rnacentral:rRNA from 1 species